GAUGAAGAACGUAGUGAAAUGCGAUACGUAAUGUGAAUUGCAAAUUCAGUGAAUCAUCGAGUCUUUGAACGCACAUUGCGCCCCCUGGUAUUCCGGGGGGCAUGCCUGUCCGAGCGUCAUUGCUGCCCUCAAGCACGGCUUGUGUGUUGGGCCCCGUCCUCCGAUCCCGGGGGACGGGCCCGAAAGGCAGCGGCGGCACCGCGUCCGGUCCUCGAGCGUAUGGGCUUUGUCACCCGCUCUGUAGGCCCGGCCGGCGCUUGCCGAUCAACCCAAAUUUUUAUCCAGGUUGACCUCGGAUCAGGUAGGGAUACCCGCUGAACUUAAGCAUAUCAAUAAGCGGAGGA
rnacentral:misc_RNA from 1 species